rnacentral:rRNA from 1 species
UACGGGGGGGGCAAGCGUUGUUCGGAAUUACGGGGCGGAAAGGGCUCGUAGGCGGCCAACUAAGUCAGACGUGAAAUCCCUCGGCUUAACCGGGGAACUGCAUCUGAUACUGGAUGGCUUGAGUUCGGGAGAGGGAUGCGGAAUUCCAGGUGUAGCGGUGAAAUGCGUAGAUAUCUGGAGGAACACCGGUGGCGAAGGCGGCAUCCUGGACCGACACUGACGCUGAGGAGCGAAAGCCAGGGGAGCAAACGGG